AACGCACAUUGCGCCCGCCAGUAUUCUGGCGGGCAUGCCUGUCCGAGCGUCAUUUCGACCCUCAGGGCCCCCCCAAGGGGGGGACCUGGCGUUGGGGGACGGCGCCCGUCGCCGCCCCCGAAAUGCAGUGGCGGCCACGUCGCAGCGACCUCCGCGUAGUAGCAAGACGCCUCGCGGGAAGGGAGCUCGGCGCGGCCACGCCGUAAAAACAGGGCCGUGAGGCCCCCCCAACCAACGAGUUGACCUCGGAUCAGGUAGGAAUACCCGCUGAACUUAA
rnacentral:misc_RNA from 1 species